GUAGCUUUGCUACUCUGCUGACGAGCGGCGGACGGGUGAGUAAUGCUUGGGAAUGUACCUUAUGGUGGGGGACAACAGUUGGAAACGACUGCUAAUACCGCAUAAUGUCUUCGGACCAAAGCGGGGGACCUUCGGGCCUCGCGCCAUAGGAUCAGCCCAAGUGGGAUUAGCUAGUUGGUGAGGUAAUGGCUCACCAAGGCGACGAUCCCUAGCUGGUUUGAGAGGAUGAUCAGCCACACUGGGACUGAGACACGGCCCAGACUCCUACGGGAGGCAGCAGUGGGGAAUAUUGCACAAUGGGCGCAAGCCUGAUGCAGCCAUGCCGCGUGUGUGAAGAAGGCCUUCGGGUUGUAAAGCACUUUCAGUAAGGAGGAAAGGUUGGAUGUUAAUACCAUUCAGCUGUGACGUUACUUACAGAAGAAGCACCGGCUAACUCCGUGCCAGCACGCCGGGUAAUUGA
rnacentral:rRNA from 1 species